GAAUAUUGAUAUGGUUCCCAAAUGUAGCACUGGAUCACAUGACCCCACUAGGCAUGUAUCCCUGAAGCAUUAAUUUUUUUUACUUCACAGUUUUUGGGGAGUGAGAAGAGGGAGGGAGUCAAGAAACCUAACUGAUCUUCCAACAUUCAUGAAAUGUUAUGUAGAAUGGGAAGGAUAGAUUUUCCAUUCAGCUACACACUUUAUAAGCCAACAAACAUUUAUUUAAAGCCUACACUCUGUAAGGCACUGACCAAGCACUUAUGUAGUAUUCACUGAUGAAAAAUACUCCCUUGCUGACCUGAAAGAACUGACAAGUCCCAUAGAAGGGAACUUCACUUCAGAGGGCUGUGGACUUCUCAUCUAUAUCAUGAAGGAGUUUUAUUGAAUGAUCUCUAUGAUCCUCUUCAGCACUUCAUGUUGAGUAGGUAACAGUCAUUAUCUCCAGUUGGGAUAACUGUUGUGAUAAGCAUUUGUGGAACAUGAACCGUGUUUUCAGGACAUGGCUAACUCCUACGAAGGCAGAGAUGUGUUGGUCUCUCACCGUCACUGCACCAUCCAUAUGGCCUAUAACAGUGCUUGGCAUGUGAGUGGAUUUGUGUCCUGGAGCGAGCAGAGCUGCAUUUAAAAGUAUGCUAGCUUCCAGCUUGAGAUUCUCAGAGGAGCAGCAAAGCAAAGAACAGAACAUUGCCCUGAAUGUUUGGAGAGCUCAGAUGGGGGCUUAGCCAUCAAAUGUAACUGUCACCAGCACAGCCCCUUGCCUCAGUCUAGAUUCAACCACAAUGCUAUCUUCUUUUUGAAACUUCAAUGGACAUUCUUCUAACAAAGUCCCCACAAUGUAAACGCUAUGAGAACAGAGGCCUUGCAUUUCCAGUCUGGGACGAGCCAAUCACUUUCUCUCUCCAGUGAUCUCUGGAAGAGGGGUAAUGCAACCAGAUUAACUUAUGUCAUCUACCAGCUAUGACUUAUUUUAAAAAUAUGGCCUGCAAUUUUGUCCUUGGUGGUUCACAGGUAUUGUAGCCCUCACAUCUUUUUUUCUGCUUCAAUAGCUAUUUAUCCUUGAAAUCUUUUGAUGUCAUUUUUUUUGGCUACUGAAAACACAAGUGACAUAGCCAUAAUGGCUGUAGCUUGCAAAUAAAAAUUAAACAUUACAUACACAUAAGUGGGGAAGUGAUAGCUAGACAACAAUGACUAGGCAUAUAUGUACACAGAUUUCAGAAAUGCUUUCCAUGAAUUAUUAGUGAAUGAAUGAGUCCUGGUAUGUGGCACUGUCAUCUUAAGGGAAAAGAAAAGCCUCUAUUGUUUAUAAGCAAGUUGAUAUUUGGGAAAGUCAGUAUUGUUAUUUCCUUAUCAAUUUCUUCAGAUUUUUCCGAAUUCUAUCCUAAAAGUUAGACCAUCAGAAUAUAAAUUAUAUUGUUCCCUUUAUCCUCAGCAUUUACUGAGAUUUCAGGGGAUAGCAAACUGAAUAAUGUGAAAAUGCCUUCCAUAAAACUGUAAAAUAUAUUAUUGCUUGGUUAACCUGCAAUAACCUUCAAAAGGAAGUCCAAAUCAGUGGUUGUAUUAAUUUAAAAAAAAAAUGUGAAAGUACCCAUUUUCAUUUGCUUUCAACAUUUACUAAACACUUAGUAUUUGCAAAACCUUAUCCCGUGAUAGUGACUUCAUUAUUGCCUUCCUUGAAUGAACCACAGUGCAUGUCAUACCCAUGAAGGGCCCUUUCCUUCUAGAACCAUCCCUGUGUAUCUCUUUUUCUUUUCCUUCUUUGUUCUUGGUUCCUAUGAUGCCCCAUACCUUCAUCACAUUCGUUUCUUCUUUAGAUUUAUAGGACGCUUCCCAUGAAAAAAAAAAACAAACAAAAACGUGGUGGGUGGAGAUUUAUAUGAUUCAAAACCCAUUUGUGUUUUUUUUCUUUUUUUUGAAUUAGUAAUUAGAAAAUAUAGAAGACCUAAACUUUUACACUCAAAACAGUACCUGUAUUAAUUCUAGUUCUGAAUGUGCUCAUUCCUUCUGCUCUUUUUGAUUAAAUUUAUGAUAGGUUUAUGUCUCAUUUUUCCUAUGCUUUCAUCUGCUGACUUCUCAUGCCCCUUUGAAGCCAGAUGGAGCAUAAAUCUUAAAUAAAUAAACAAGCAAAAAAUAUAAGAGAGCCCUACCCUGGUUAGUUUAUAUCAUAAAAAUGAAUCCAAUAAGCAUAUAAAUAUAUGUGAAUUCUGAAAUAAAAUACCAUCUGCUUUUAUAGGAAAAAAACCACAUUAAUUUUAUAUCACAACAUGUUAUCUUGUGCAAAUUCAAUUCAGUGAUAGAAAUAAAGAAAGUAUCUAAAUAUGUGGAAUGCUCAAAUUAUCUUCUGGCUCCUGCCAAAUUAAAAAAAAAUUUUUUUUUCAGUAAUGUGCAUUAACUGAGUUAGAUUUUAACGUCUGGAACUGGCACAUUUCCCCAGAGUUGCAUCAGAUAUCAGAAUCAAGGGUUAUUAACAUUACAAAGAGCACCACUGUCCUACAGUGUCCCCUUUAUCAUUUUGAGCAGCUGCCUCAAGGCAACGCAUUUAACCUUGGGAAAUGUGAUAGAAAUUCUGGAUAGUCAAAACCUGCCAGUAGAUUCCCUCAACUGGGAUCUACUGUAAAGCUUUAUUUAGCUGCAACACAGGAAAAUGAUGAAACUCUUAUUACCAUUUGGAUGUUUAUCAUUUCUAUUCAUCCCUUCUAAAUCCCUUGAAUACUGUUGCUUUAACUUAUACACAGUGAUAUUCCAUUUGCUGGCAGGACAUUGUUUUCCCCACUGAGAAUGUAAAUAAAGGUCUCCAGAGAAAAGUGUGGUAAAUAUUUUAAAACAGAAUUUUAGAUUAUUUCCUUCCAGGUGUUUUAGAGUAAGAUGCUAACUCUGACUCCUUUUCUGUAGAAUCUUAAGUCUAUUUUAUAUUUUGGCUGAAAAUGGCUGUUGUUGACACGAUUACUUGCUUAAAAUUAGAUUGGAAACAGUACUGGUGACUGGGUAAUGAAGGGGCAUGCUCAGAAAUGACUGGUGGCUUAACCAUUGACAUAAAUCUUUAA